CUGGGGUUGAGAUAUGGAGGGUGCAUGGGAGCUGGAUGGAGUGUCAGGGAAGGAAGAGGGUUUCCUACAGAAGGAACAAUAUACGCGAGAUCCCUGAGGACAGGAAACAGCAAGUCAGAAGGACUGAAAGCAGAUGAGUGUAGCUGAUGUGGAGACUGAAAGGAAUAAAGAAGAGAUUAGAAUGAAGUAAAGAAUAGACUAAAAAGACCAAGUAGAGAAAUGGUGGCCUUGGCAAUGCACGAGAACAAAUUCCUCUGUCUCUGGUCUGUGGUCCAGGGAGAGAUCAGAGGCCACAUUCUGUUGUCUGUGUAUCCGUUCGGGACCCCUGCUGCACUGGACUCUCCUAUACAUCCAUUCUCCCCAGGAGGCAUCUCCAGUUCCGGGAUGCAGAUGGGGCUGCAGAAAUUGCCUCUUGGUGGAAGCCUCAAGUUCAUCGGAAACGGUCAUGGCCCAUGUCCUUGA
rnacentral:lncRNA from 1 species